UACGAAGGGGGCUAGCGUUGCUCGGAAUCACUGGGCGUAAAGGGUGCGUAGGCGGGUCUUUAAGUCAGGGGUGAAAUCCUGGAGCUCAACUCCAGAACUGCCUUUGAUACUGAGGAUCUUGAGUUCGGGAGAGGUGAGUGGAACUGCGAGUGUAGAGGUGAAAUUCGUAGAUAUUCGCAAGAACACCAGUGGCGAAGGCGGCUCACUGGCCAGAUACUGACGCUGAGGCACGAAAGCGUGGGGAGCAAAUAGG
rnacentral:rRNA from 1 species